ACAAUGAAGAGUUUGAUCCUGGCUCAGGAUGAACGCUAGCGGCAGGCCUAACACAUGCAAGUCGAGGGGUAACAGGAAAAGCUUGCUUUUCGCUGACGACCGGCGGACGGGUGAGUAACGCGUAUACAAUCUACCUUUUGCUAAGGGAUAGCCCAGAGAAAUUUGGAUUAAUACCUUAUAGUAUAUAGCUACGGCAUCGUAAUUAUAUUAAAGGUUACGGCAUAAGAUGAGUAUGCGUCCUAUUAGCUAGUAGGUGUGGUAACGGCACACCUAGGCAACGAUAGGUAGGGGCCCUGAGAGGGGGAUCCCCCACACUGGUACUGAGACACGGACCAGACUCCUACGGGAGGCAGCAGUGAGGAAUAUUGGUCAAUGGGCGAAAGCCUGAACCAGCCAUGCCGCGUGCAG
rnacentral:rRNA from 1 species